UACGGAGGAUGCGAGCGUUAUCCGGAUUUAUUGGGUUUAAAGGGUGCGUAGGCGGACUGUCAAGUCAGCGGUAAAAAUGCGGUGCUCAACGCCGUCGAGCCGUUGAAACUGGCGUUCUUGAGUGGGCGAGAAGUAUGCGGAAUGCGUGGUGUAGCGGUGAAAUGCAUAGAUAUCACGCAGAACUCCGAUUGCGAAGGCAGCAUACCGGCGCCCUACUGACGCUGAGGCACGAAAGCGUGGGUACCGAACAGG
rnacentral:rRNA from 1 species